AGUAUUAUAUAUUUUUUAAAGAGCCUAUAGCUCAGUUGGUUAGAGCACACGCCUGAUAAGCGUGAGGUCGGUGGUUCAAGUCCAUUUAGGCUCACCAAUAUAAAUAUAUUAAUAUA
rnacentral:tRNA from 1 species